AUCAUCAUCUAGAAAAAUCCUUGAAUUUCAGGUAUAAACCUACCAGAAACAAACGUGAAUUUGACUGGUAGUAAAAUCUGAUACUUCUAUAAAUUCACACCCUCCAAAGACUGAACCUAACACAAAGCUAUCCUGUUAUUAGAGAUCAGAAGAUGCCCAACCCUCCACCACCAGAUCCCCACCACCACCACGACCACCACCCACCUCCACAACACGCACCUCCUCCAGGUCCUCCACACCAUGAACCUCCUCCCCUUCACACCCAUGCUCCUCCACCGGGUCCCCAGGCGCCUCCACCGGGUCCUCCUGAGCCACACAAACCUGGACCACCUCAUCAUCACCGUCCUUAAUUAAGAGAGUUGAUCAAGUACUUAAGAGGAGCAUAAACAUGGAGGAACUAGAGCAUAUAUCCAUAGAUGUCUGUGUGUGUAUUGUUGAAGCUACUUAAUUUCUAAUGUUUAGCAUUAUAUGUAAGCUACUGGGGCUGGCUCACAUGCCGGAUCUCCUGAUUACUGUAUGUGGUUAUUGUAUGAUAAUUAAUUAUAAUAAAUUGAUAAGUAGCAAAUUAAUCUAUGUCUAUUGUUUAUUUUAUUGAAUUUAGUAAAUUUUUUAAUUUAUUAAUAAUUUUUAUUUAUGACUAAUGAGAAUUAAAAAUAAAUGGUUUAAAUUUUAAAUUUAUCAUAUUUACUCGAAUGCAUUUACUAGCGGAUGAGGAAAAAAUAUUUUAUAUAUAAGUAUUUGAAGUUUUAAUUUAUUUAGAAUUAAAAAAAUUCUAAAAUUAUAUGUUUAAAAAUCAAUCAAAAAAUGUAAGUUAAAACUCUAAUUUUAUAUUAUUUUAUUUUAAAAGUAUUUAUAAAUUGUAAAUUAAUUUAAAAAAUUUAAUAGUGUUAAUGAAGUGGAUGAUAGUUUGGACAAUAAAAUUAAUAAAUAUUAGAGGAAUUAAAUUUAGUUAAUUAAAUUGUUAUACUUGAAACAUAUGAAUUAAUCUCUUAUUAUAUGUAUAUAAAUAUUAGGAACUAAUUGAUAAAUUACUCAUUAAUUAAAAAAUAUGAUAAAUUUUAAAAUUUUAAACAAUUAAAAUUUGUUUAGAAGAAAAUUAACCCUUUUAGUUCAAUUCAAUAAGAAAUCCGAAUCAAUAAUUAAAAGAAAAAAUUAAUUAUUAAUUAAUUAAUAUAAUAUGAGAAAAUUUAUUAUUCAUUAUGAAAAUUAAAUAUAUUAAAAUGUUUUUAAAAUUUAAAAAAUAUUUUACUAAUUAGCUAAUUUAUUAUUUUAACAGUUUAAUAUUAGAAAAAAAAUUUAAAUAAUUUCAAUACAAAAUUAAUGAAUUUUGUAGGAUUGAAUGUUUAUCAUUGUAUCAAAAGUUUAAGAUUAUGUUUAUUUUCAUUGCAGUUUUUUGUUUUUUAUUUGAUAAAAAAUAAAAAAUUUAUUCGAUUGUUAGUAUUUCAUUUUAAUUUUUAUUACUUAUUAAAAGAGUUUUUAAAAAUUAAAAACCACAAAUAUUAAUUUUUAUUUACAAAUUCCAUUAAAUUAUUAUAUUCCUUUAUAAUUUUUAUCAAGUUAUUAUUAACAAUUUCAAAAUUUUUUUCAUGAUUAAUCAAAUUUUAUUUUAAAUAUAUAUUUAUUCAAUUAAUUUAUAAAAUAUAUUUUUAUUUUAUUAUUAUUAGAGAAAUUUUCUAUUUAAUCUUUAUAUUAUUUAAAAACUCAUUAAUUAACUCCUUAAUUUUAAAAAAUACAUUAAAAAAUACUUAAUUUCUUAAGAAAUCUAUUAAUUAGUCAUUCUAUUAGUUUUAAUUUUUAAACAUUUUAUUAUUUAGUCCUUAUCAGAUAAAAAACUCAUUAGUUAGUAAUUAUUUCUUUUAGAUUAAACAUAUUUUAAAUUUUUUAUAAGAAAAAUUUACUAUUUAGUUCAUAUAAUAUGAUAAAACUUAUUAGUUGAUUUUUUAAUUUUUAAAGAUAUAUUAAAAUGUCUAUAAAAUAUUAAAAAAUAUAAUAAUUAGUAUUUUUAUUAAUUUAACUAUUAAGUAUUUUACUAUUUAUUUUUUGUGAUAAAAAUAAUUUAUUAAUUAAUUUUUUAAUUUUAUAAAAAUAUUUACUAAUUAAUUCUUUACAUCGAGGUAUUUUAAAUUUUUUAUAAUAUUUAAUAAUUAAAAUUAUUGAAAAAAUUAAUUAGUACCUUUUUAAAGUUUAGAGAUAUUUUAAUAUAUUAUUUAAAAUCAAAUGACUAAUUUGUGAGUUUUUAUAUAUUAUAUGGGUUAAAUAAUAAAUUUUAUUUUUCAGCACUUAAUAAAUAAAAUUAAAGAAAAUAAGUAGAUUUUUAAAAUAUCAAGAAUAUUUUAAUAUAUUUUUAAAAUAAAAUAUAAACUUAUUUUUAUAAAAAAAAAUAAAUACUAUUAAAUAUAAAAAUAAGUUUAUAUUUUAUUUUAAAAAUAUAUUAAAAAUUAACAAGGGCAACUCUUAAUUUUUUAUAACAACUAAAAUUGGUUUUUUUAGAAGAAAAAUAACCUUUUGUUUGUAUAACGAUUCAAUAUUUUUUAAAAAAAAAGAAUCAAUUUAUAAUUUAAAAUAAUUGAAUUAAAAAAAAAAAGACAAAAUUUAAAACAAUUCUGACCCUUCUCAAACAAAAUGACCUUACCGACACAAGUGCACAAGACAACACGUAUAGAUAAAGUCAAGGAGGGACAAAUCCUUAGCUAAACAAAUAUAAGAAUAUUAGGUGAUGAACGACGACGGAUUGACUCUUAGUUGUGAAAUUGACAGUAAGUUGGCUUCAUCCUUAACCUCCACCAGUAUAUAAUUACUCCCGAUCAUUCCAUACUUGGCCACAAGAAAAAGAAGAUGCACAACCCUCCACCACAUCAUCACGGUCCACCGCACCACGGACCACCUCCUCCGCAGCCACCUCCUCCGCAGCCACCUCCUCCUGGGCCUCCUCAUCAUCAUCACCAUCCUCCUCCGCCUGUUGAUCCCCGUCCACCUCCACCGGGUCCUCAUGGUCCACACCAUCAUCCACCACCUCACCACCACUAAUUAGUCCAAUGGGCAAUUGGACACUUAUUACAUAUAUAUAAUGUGAAAAGUGUGUAGCUAUGGUUUGUGCUAGAAUUAGUAGCAGAGGGUUAGAAAGAGUUGAACUCAAAAUCUCCUAAUUUAGCUUUACUGUAGUCAUCGUCGGCCGAACUAAACCUGUAACUCAGUUUGCUACUAUAUUAUAAUAAAUAAAAUAAUUAAAGCACCAUUUCUAUAUGGUUUGCUCGUGUUUUGCCUUCUUCUUUCGUCUCUUACUUUAUAAUAAUCAAACUCUGUUGUUUUGCUAUUUUUUUUCCAAUUUCUAGAGUGAUUGGAUACAUCAAUGCUUUGGGAUUAUAUGAAUAUGAUACUUCUAGUUAAAGAUGUCUCUGGGAGUAUAUGAUACUUUCGAAUUAAACAAUGCUCAUAAUUUAAUUAAAUUAGGAAUUUUCAUUGAAUAAUAAAAAUUGGAUAUUUUAUUAAUUAGGUAUUUAAUUUUUUUAGGAGUAUUUUUAAAUUGUUUACAUUUUAAAGAAGAUAAAUUUAAAUAAGCCCAUAAAGUCAAAUAAGCUUAAAUUUAUCUUCACUCACUAUUUAAGACCAAUUAAAUUUAGAAUUAAAUAUAGUCCAAGGAAUCGUGAGACACGCAUAAUUAAAGAAACAAAAAUAUGAGUAAAAGAAAUAGAGAAAUUAAAAUUUUACUAUUAUAUUCUUUUUUGUGUAUAUAUAUUUUUUAAUCGUCUCAAAAUUAUUUUCUAUUUUUUAACCUAUAAUAACAUAUAAAUUUAUUAUUAUAAUCCUAUCUAAUUUUAUUUUAUUUUUAAUAAAUAUUUUAAAAUAUUUUUAAGUAUUUAAUAAAACUUAAUAUAUUUAAGAUGGAUAUAAUUAAAAAGUUAAUAAAAAAAUUAUAUAAGAUAUGAUAAAUACAAAAUAUUCUCACCUAACUGAUUUAAAAGUCAUAUAAAAAUGUGAUUAAUAUAUCAUAUUAUCUACCUAAUUUAAUUUAUAAUAAUUUAUUGGAUAAACUCAAGAUUAUUUAAAUUGAAUGAGAUCCUAAUCUACUAUGAGAUCUACCGCUAGAUUUUUCGAAUUAAUAGAUAAGCCUAUUAAUUUGAACAAAAUAGUGGGAGACUAAUUGAAAGAUUAAAGACCUGAUCUACUAAUUAGGAGAAUACAUAAGACUGAUAAUUAAAUUUCUCUACAUGAAUAGAAUUUAGUUCCACCAUGAGUAAAUUAUCUAUUCUUGCGUAACAUAUUUGAUACUAACAAAUUAACUAAACUGAACUUUUUAGACUGCUAUCGCAAUUUGAAAGUGGUUCUUAAGUAAGAAAAGAAGUUAUAUAUUCUCGAUGAAGACAUACGUGAUGUUCUUAAUAAGACUACUAGUGAUGAUGUCAAGGACAAGUACGAUUAUCAUAUUUAUGAUGAUGUGCAAGCUACAUGUGUGAUGUUAGCUAACAUGAAUCUUGAGGACCUACGAGUGGCAAGUGGAGUAAAGGUUGCUACAUUAACUGUAGGAACUUAUUAUCUGCUUUUACCUUCUGCCUUAGUAUUAGAGUUGAAUAAUUGUUAUUAUAUUCUAAUACUUUACAAAAACAUUAUUUCAGUUUUAUUUUAGCCUUGAAUAAUGGAUUUAAGUUUAUUAUUUAGAAUACUACUUGUUCUUUUAUAAUAAAAGAACUUAUUAUGGAACUGGAAUUAAUAUAGAUGUUCUAUAUAAUGUUUCUUCUGAAAGCAUAUUCUCAAUAUAAAAGAGACUCAAAUUAGAUGAUCAACUUUCAUAUCUAUUUUUGCAUUGUAGACUUGGUUAUAUAAAUAAAAUAAGAAUCACUAAGUUGCAUAAAGAUGGAUAUCAUGAUCCUUUUGAUUAUGAAUCAUAUAAAACUUGUGAAACUUAUUUAAUGGGUAAAAUGACAAAAACAUCUUUUAAAGAAAAAAGAUAAAUGGUCACAAGAAUCAUUGGGUCUUGUACAUAUGGAUGUAUGUGGACCAAUAACUACCCAAGUCAUAGGUAGGUAUCUGUAUUUCAUUACAUUCAUGGAUAACUAUACUAGAUAUAGUUAUGUGUAUUUAAUGAAAUAUAAAUCUGAAUCAUUUGAAAAGUUCAAAGAAUUUAAAUUUGAAGUUGAAGAACAUAUUGGCAAAAGUAUUAAAUCACUUAGAUGUGAUUGAGGUAAUGAAUAUUUGAGUCAAGAAUUUUGUGAUUAUCUAAUAGAAAAUGAGAUUCUCUCACAAUGGACUCCACCUGGAACACCACAACACAAUGGAGUUUCAGAAAGGAGAAACUGUACGUUACUAGACAUGGUACAGUCCAUGAUGAGUCUUGCAGACUUAACUCUAUCACUUUAAGGAUAUGCCUUGCAAAGUGCGAUAUACCUUCUUAAUACAGUUCCAUCCAAAUCUAUUGAUAAGAUCCAAAUGAGAUGUGGACUAACAAAAAUCAGUCUUAUCACACAUUAAGAUUUAGAGAUAUGAUGCUAAUGUGAAGUGUCUGAUAUUUGAUAACUCAGAGUUAAGUCAGAUAAAUGUAAUUUUGAGGGAUGUCCAAUAAAAACUAUUGGAUAUUACUUCUAUCAUCCCAUUGAGAAAAGGUAUUCGACUCAAAACAUGCUAUCUUUCUAAAAAAUAUUUUCUUUUGAAAAAAGCAGUGAGAGUUAGAUAGCACUUGAAGAAGUUCAAGAACCACAAACAAAUAUCCAAGUGCAAUCGAAAUCAGAGACUUUAAUGUCUUCUAUAGAAACACAAAUUUUCAUGCAGAUGGAAUAUAUGUUUUGAUAAAAUGAUCAAACUAUUUGAUUUUAUCAAAAAUCAUGGAUAAACCUUGUGUACAAGAAGGUUAGUGGGAGUAGAGUUGUAUUUUUUUUAUUAUUUUAUAUAUAGAUGAUAUAUUAAUAGGAAAUGAUAUUCCAUUACUACAAUUUGUAAAAAUUUGAUUGUCCAAAAUUUUCUUUAUGAAGAAUUUGGAAUAAGCCACUAAGAUCUAUAGAGAUAAAUUUAAAAGGUUACUUGUUUAUCCAAAAUUCACUCAGAUUGACAAAGUGCUAAAAACAGUUUAGCAUGGAGGAUUCCAAGAAAGGAUUCUUGACCAUGUCACUUGAAGGGACUUAUAAACUCAAAGUUCAUGGAUAUUCGAAUGUGAAUUUCUAAUCAGAUUUUAAUGAUAAAAAAUCUCAAUUUGAUUACGAUUUUACUUUAAAUGGUGGAGAAAUGAGUUGGAAAGGUUUCAAAUUAGAGAUGACUGUAGAUUCUAUGAUAAAAGUCAAGUACACUUCUGUGUCCUAAGUAACAAACGAGAUAGUUUUUGGAUCAAAAGUUCAUUUCUGAACUUGGUGUGAUUCCUAGCAUUGUUGAUUCAGUUAUAUUGAACUGUGAUAAUAAUGGAGUCCUUGCAUAAGCAAAGGAACCUAGGUCUCAUUAAAGUCUAAGUAUGUACUUAGGCGAUUCCAAAAAAUUAGAGAAAUCAUUGAAAGAAAAGAUGUGGAGAUAAAGCUGAGUUUCACUAAUAAGAAUCUUAAAGAUUCUCUUACUAAGGCAUUGUUCUAGUAGAAACAUAAUUACCGUAUUUAUACUUAUGUGAUAAGUCAGAUGGGUGAUUGACUUUAGUGCAAGUGAGAGAUUGUUAAUAAUAUGCCCUACAACCAAUAUGUUGGUUGUAGUUAGAUAUUAUUCUUCGUGUAUUUUAAGUAUUUAAAUACAAUUUUAUAAAGAUAAUUAUUUAUUUUUAGUUUUAAUUUAAUUAAAUUUCGAGUAAAGAUAAAGUCUAUGAGACUAUAUUACUAUGCAAAGGAAAUUAUAAUGUGGUUAUAAUUGUGAGAUUCUAAUUUCAUUUAAGUAAUAUCUCUAAAUAUUUCUGGUCGAUGUUCUUAUCAUGAUUGGAUAAUAAUUAGAGCUGUUGAAACUAGUACAUGUUGUGUUUUUUCUUUUAGAGGAAGCAAAUGAUCUCAUAGGUUGAGAUAUGUGAGAUAUCUAAAACUAAUAUGUAGUUGAACUGACCCGCCUGAAAAAUCCAUAUGAAAAAUAAUUUGUGUCUAUGAAUUACUCAAGUGAUGGUUGUGUAAGUAAUCCUUUAACUUGAAAUCAAUAAAAUAAUUUUAUAUAGGGACUUUUAUGUUUUGAUUCAUCUCACAUGUUGCUUAGUUUAUGAGUAACAAAUGGAGAUGAAUUGAAUAUAUUAGGAACUAUAUGAAGGUAUUUAUGUGAUUGAAAUAUGAUUCAUCACCCUAUGUUAAAUUAGGAAAUGUCAAAUUCGUUCUCUGCUAGCAUUGAUCAUGAAAUCCUUGCGUAGGUUGGAAUGAAAUCAACAAAUGAGAUUUAAAAUUUCAUUCAAUACGUCAAUGACUAAUAAACGGGAACUAAUAUAAUUUAACAUUAUAGAUAUGUUCCAACAUUAAAUGUUAAACUGGGACAUUUGUGAUUAAGGGAUAUCAAUUACAUUAACAAACUAUGCUCUAAAAAAUUAAGUCAAACCACUUUUAAUAUUCCGAAUAUUUGGGUAGUCAUGAUAUGUUGCUAGACAAUAUUCUUGACCUUCAAAUUAAUUAAUUAAUUAUAUUGGUUACCAACAUAUUUGGAAUCUAAUGGGUUACACACAUAAAGAGUUACAAGAAAAAAUAAAACCAUAAGUUAAAUCAAGUAAUUUGAAAGAAUUACGAUUUUGAUCUAAUUAAUUAAGUAGAGACUUAAUUAAAAUUCUUUAAAAUUUAUAUGGCUUGCUUUUUAAAAUUUUGGACCAUAGUUGUAAUUUAUUUAUUUAAUUAGUUAAAUAAAUAAAUAAUACUAUUAUAUUGAAAUCCUAGAGUUUUAGUAUAAAAAGCAUCUUGUGAGAGUCUAUGUGACUCUUGGCUGAAACUUCUUUUAAAAGCCUUCAGAAUUCGUUGGAAAGAUAUAGAGUUAGCAUUCAAAAUCUCUUUCCUUCUCAAUAUCUUAUAAUUGUUUUAAAAAUUUUCGAUUAUUAUUUUGCCUGGAUAUUAUUAGAGAUUAUACAUUUGGAUGGUUUAUGGUUUGCGACAACCAACUAAACCGAACAAUCUCGUGUUUUGCGGCGAAGAACAUUUUCUCUUUAAUUAUUAUUGUUUUCUUUGUUUAAAUGUGAUUUAUGUUGGUGAAAAAUUUAUUUUUCUAUUUUUUGCUGCGCUCAAUUCUAUUAAAACCCAACAACUUUGUAGAAUACAAUCAGCCCUGUGCUCUCUCUUGAAAAAUUAUUCUAUACAACAAUUGUAUUUUAUGUACGACAGGUACAUAUUAAUCGUUAAUUAUAAUGAAAUUUUCAUAGAACUCAUUAUGAUCAAUAGUUUUAUACAAUUUGUACAUAUAACGAUAAUAUUAUAAAAUUUCUCCCCUUUUAAUCUCUACUGCUUUCUCCUUACAUCUAUUCAGUCUGCUAAAAAUUUUUCGUGCAUGAUGCCAUGUAAAUUUUCCUUUGAGCUUGCAUGUAAACUGCAUUGUAGGAUUCAUUAAAACCCAGAAAUAGGUUCUAAUGUUUUUGUGUUGGACUCCCAUUUCCCAAGGGAACGAGUGAUGUAAGCAUAAACAAGUCUUUUGCUGACUCAACAAGCAGCCGGUAUUCAUCAACAAAUGAUAAUGAUGGUUUCUACAUGGUGGCUACAGCCAUGGACUGCAGCUUAAGGAUGUAGCAGGUGUUCAGAAAGAAGGAUAUGCAAGAACCAAAAUCUUGAACAUCAUAUUUUUCUGUAUUAUGAAUUGUCUAAAUAUCCUUGUGAUGAUUAAAUAACAUGGUUUUAAAUCCAUGUUAAACUGAAGAAAUACAAAGAAAAGUUCAAUGUCAUAAAUAAUGGUAUCAAUUGUUCAAUCCUUCAAAUCUCAUGUCCCUGCAAUUACAUUUGCUUGAAACUGAAUGAAUCAACAACAAUUAACAGGCAGGAGAAUUUCAGUUUUCCUUUUCCGGAGUGAUUUAUGUACACAAAUAAGACACUUAAGAGUAAAAGCUAGUAUAUCUCUUUCCCAUUAUUGACUAGUUUUACUUUACAGAGACCAAAAAGAAAAGAAAAUGAAUUCAGAAUUUGAGUAUUACCCCUGUAACAGACAUUUGAGACUCUGAAGUCCCUCGGCGGAAAUGCUUCGUCUGACUCUUCCCCUUUCUACUGCCACUUGUGGAGGUGGCUCUAAGUGAAAGCUUAUGACAACAACUGUCAAAUUGUCUGUCGCUCCGCGUUUUAUUGCUUCCUCUACUAUUUCUUUGCAACACAAUUUCACAUCAUUGUGCUCUUGAAGUCUUCUCCGAGCAAAGGAUACUGAAUUUUGGCUGGAAAACACAUCCCAUAUUCCAUCACUUCCGAUGAUCAAGAACUCAUCGUCCUUUGUUAGAGUAAUCAAUUUAAGCUCCGGUUCAGCGCUCAAGGGACCACCUCUAUCGCCGCCCUUCACCUUCAUCCCUUCUAGGUGCCAAUCACCUAAUGCUCGAGUAACAGCUAACAGGCCAUUCAGAUAGCCAUCUUCAACGUAUCCCCCCAGGGACUCGAUCCGUGUCCUUUCAUUAACACAGCAAGGCCUAUGGUCAUUUGACAUUUCUACAGCUGUUCCACGUCGUGACAGUACAGCCCGGCAAUCACCAGCAUUUGCCACAAGCAAAGACCUGUCCAAAAUAAAGGAAGAUAAUCAAGCAAAUAUGAUAACAAUGUUCUGGUUUUACUAUUCGUUCACCUUACAGAACUCAUGAAGCUAUCAAUCAAAGACAAGGUCCAUUUUAUCAUCUUUCCCUGUGCAUUUUCUUCAAUUCUCACUGCUACAAAAAUAGGCCUAAGGCGGCAGGCAUAAAUUAUUGUCUUAUUAUAUACUUUAAUUGUAACCAUAGAUACAUAGGAACGAUUUGAAAACCACAAUAUCUGCGACCACUAAUUUUAAGAUAUCAGUUUAAUUAUUAUUUUUUGCAACGAAUAAAAAAUGCGGUAAAAAUUAUAAUUCUAUUAAAUAUAAAAUAAACUUUUUAUUAAAAUGUAUUAUUAUAUAUAAUAAAAAAGGUGAAUUUUUUAUAACAGUUGUAAACUGCUGCCAAACUAUUGCGUUAGUAGUAUUAAGACAAUAAGUUCAUAACCGCUGCAAAAAUACCAUUGUCUAAAUCCUAAAAUGUAUUAGCGCCUACACCUAAAUCUCAUUUUGUAAUGAAUUCACACCUUCAAACAACCAUUAUUACCUCUUAAAUUAUCAUUUAGUUUCGGAUGGACCAGAAAGUCCUUUUGAAUCAGAAAAAAAAAGGGGGGAUGGGUUGAGCUGCAAAUUGCUGAAGCAUUAUUGGUAUGGUUAAAAUUUUCUAGCAUUGGUCUACCUUUUAACACGUGCAUAACUAAACCUACCAUAUUAGACCUAAUAGUAGACCAAUAACACUUGAAAAAUAGAAGCAAAAUCUAGACUUAGUGCCUUAUUCGGAUCCAACUAUUUGAUAGCAAUAUAAAUCUCCUCCAUCUAAUAUGGUUGCAACAAAAUUCCAUUUAUACCUUCAUCAACCUUCUGAGGUAUAAAAUUCAAAUUAUCAUCCAUGUCCCAAGACACUUCUGAAGACAUCCCUUAUAGCUCAUGACCUUGAUCAUCUACAAGCACUAAGACUUAUCUUUCUUUUAACUAUGAUAGACAUAAUACACUACAAAGAAACUUAAAUUUAAAAACAGAUAAAUUCAUUUAUAAAUUAUAAAUUUUCUUUGUGAUGACUGACCAACAGAGAAGAAUGGAAGAAGCUUACCUCCCAAAUAUCAUUGCAGUGAGCGCAGUUGUGCCAGAAGAGAGGCCAGACUCAAGGGUGCAAGUCUCUGCAAAAGCUGUAUCAGUCUCAACGAACGACCUUGUGACUGCUUUCUCAAGUUCUAAUGGGAAAUCUGCAUCCUCAACAAUGACUCUUGGCAAAUGAUCCCGGACAAAAUGUGCUGCAUUCUUUCCCCCAUGCCCAUCAAAUACCUGUCGUUUCAAAGCAAUUGCCAGUACAAAUUGUAAAACUAACAAUGAAAAAUUCUUACUCUAUGUGCAUAUUUUGUUUCCUAAAUACUUUAUAUUAUGUAAUUACAAUAAGUUUAUUCUGGUCAAGUUCUGCUCAGGUCACAAGCUUUAAGUAAUUGUGUACUGAUUUCCCUUUGAAUUUUACAGGUUGGGGGUAUGGUGUUCAAGGGAACUGGAAGCAGGAGCCUUAAUAACAUCCAACCACUGGAAAUAAGCAACACCUUCAAGUAAAGCCAUGUUCUAAGAAGCUAGUGCACGGCCAAUAUUCUUAAUAACCGCCCUAUAACUAAUUAACUGAGAAAUUAGGGAAAAAAAAUGAAAUUUAUGUGAAAUACGUAAAUUUCCAUGAAGCACUGAAAUAAGAUUACAGGAAGAAGACUUACACCAUAGAAAGAAACAGGUUCCUCCCUAAGUAAAUUGUAACCAAAUUCUUUUGCCAAGUCACUAAUGCAAAUGUGUGUAUCCUCCAUAUAAGGCCGACCACCAAUGUCAGACCAUUCCCCUGACCGAAGGACAGGAAAAAUAUUAUGUUUCCUCUCUAGAGCCACUCGAUCCUCACAGAUGCUAUCUAGCUGAAGGCCACAAAGAUAAUGAAAUUAAUUAAAGCAAUAAAUGGAAAACAAAUGACUAAAAAAGGUAAUCUUCAGUCACAGAUAGUAUACUAGACUAGAACUUUCCAUAUACAAGAAUCGCAUAUUUAAAUGUUAAUUUAAUAAUAAGCAUUUCCCUCCGAGUAAUGAAUCAAUGCUAAAAGUAUGUAUUUGGCCAUAUAUUAGGAAGGCACAUGCCGCAGUGAAAUACAGAAUAAAGAAUCAAGUAAGCCAAUAAACAUAGCAUAGCUCCAAUUCCCCCAGGCUUUACAUAAUCAAAGAGCAAGUGCUUUACGAUCAUAGAACUCAAAACCUUUAAAUAUCAGAAAACCGAAUGCUAGAAAAUUCCUUGUUACCUAAUCUACAUCUUGUCUUAAUCCUACCAGUAUCACAAUUAAAGUCAUAGUAAUUACAGCGACAGUAUAUAUCAGGCAAAUACACAAUCGGAAAGCUCAACUACUUCUCAUAAGAUAUUUGAGAGUUAUUACUUAGAUAAUGUUUCUGAAAUUAGUUUUAUGUGGCAACCAAUUGCCGAGCAAAUAUGCUAUCCUUGUUCAUUUGGCUUUGGGGUUACCUCAUGAAAUAAAUACAAGCCAAGCCAAACUAUAACUUAAAAUCCAUGACAUGAGAUACUUGAGAGAAAUUAUUAGAAAACUGAUCAUGUCAAUAACUAUACUAUUACUAUCAUUACAUGCUAUGGAAGAAUCUCAACCAUGGCUACCAGAAAAUGGAAUCCCAUUUUUUAUGAACACUAUUUUGCUUUUCCUUUUGUGAAUAUAAAAGGAUUAAAACACGAAUUUUCCAACAUUCCUGAGUUCCCAAAAGGAAUUGAGGUCUAUAGUAUCGGUUGUCACUUUCACUGAAGGAAAGAAGUUUUUUUUUAAUUGGCUAGAGAUUCAUCUUUACAUUUCUAAUAAUCAACAGUGUAUAACAUAGGAUAAAUGAUUUAAGAAUAAAAUGGGACACCUAUGGAUAUAAAGUUUCAAAAGAUGUGAUAAAGACAAAAAGAAGGUAGCAACCUUAUCAAGGUUACUGUGAAAGCAUUCCUGUUGUCCAAUUAGUACCAAAAGCCUACACGUGAAUUCAUUGACCAUAUAAAGCAGGCAAAAAGAUUUUCCCCGCAGUUUCUGGAUUUUUCAAUGCAGCAAAUACAAAAUAUUUCUAAAGAGUUCAAUAGAAAAAGGGGGAAGAAAUAGACAAAUCUUCUAAGAAGUUUUCUGAUACGACUAAAAUAGAACUAGGAAGGCAGUAGAGCUAGAGAAACACCAGUGAAGGAAUUAAAAUUGGAAUUGUGUAGUUACUAUAGAAAGCAAUUACUAAAACAAAAAAGAAAGAAAGACAGAAAUACUGAAAUGAAAGAAAAUUCAUAGCUAAUUGAGACAAUCAGCUCCAAUUUCUUGAGAGAAAGCAAUAAUUGUAUCCACAGAUGACCCAUGCUUCCCAUAUCAUAUAGAUAAACCAGAAAGAAAUUGUUAAUUGCACAGCACAAGCAACUAAAACCAAAACCUUCAACAGAAACAUAAAUGUUUCUAAUCAAACUGAUCAUCAGAACUCAAAGGAAACAGACAACACCAAAUAAAAUUAAGGGAAAAAACAAACUUAGACAUAUAAAAGAGAGAGAAUCAAAAUUCAUACAGGAAACGAGUUGCAGAGACUGAUCCCAUCACCGGAACUAAUCAAGGAAGAGUCUUUAUCCCAAUUAUCCAUCUGGGCAUGCAAGAUCUCACAAUGCAAAGGCCAAGACUGCUUCUUGUUGAUGUUGGAAUUGUCGACGAGGCUUUCGAUUUCUGGGGUAACCUCCUCAGAAUCCUUAACACACAUGACUGGACGUUGAUAAAUGACAAGAAAGAAAAGCGGAAGGCUUUUAGACUCUUUAGCAGCGACUCCUUCUUGUUUGCGGGAAUCCAAAGUGAGGAGCCAAGGGAAAAUAGAGAGAGAAUCAAAGAAAAAUAGUGACUCGAUGAGAAGAUUCUGGGAAUAUAAUGGGGUAGACGGAGAGUAUAGAAAUGUAGAAGAAGAAGAGCCGUUAAAUUCCAGAUUUUUCUAAGAAAGCGUGGCUGAAAAUCAGUUGGUCGUGUUUUAUUUUUGUUCUUUGUUAUUUCUGUGAUUUUAUUUAUCUGAAUUCACCGACUUCUAUUUUCACAUAAUUUAUAAAUACGACAUCGUUUUUUUUUUUUUGAAAUAGAAAACGACAUCGUUAAAACUUAAUUUUAUUUACUUAAUUUUUAAUAUACUCUCCAUUUGUUUAUUUAUAUUACUAAAUCAUUUUUAGUAUUAAUAAAAUUAAUUUUUAAUAAAUUAAUUAAUACAUAAAUUGUUAUUUAAGUUAAAAAAUUAAAUUACCAUUUCACGAGAAAAAAACAUAAUUAGCACAAUUUUUAAAAACUUCAAAAAAAAAGUCACGUGUUUAUACUAAAGGGCUAAAUUGUAGAAUAAUUAGCAACAAACCAACAUUAAAUAAAUUUAUGGUCCACAUAUCUGUUGACUUUUUAAAAACGUGUUACGAUUUUAAUAUUAUUAUAUUAAAUAUUUCAUAUCCAAUUUUUUAAAAUUGGUUUAAUUUAAUUAUUAAUUAAUAAUUUUUUAAAAUUCUGAUUUUUAAUUAGCAAUUCAAUAAUUAAACUAACUAAAAUGAUUAAAUUUUUAUUAAUUUAUAUAUUUAUUAUAAUUUUAUUAAUAAAAUAUUAUUUAUAAUUAUUAUUUUUAUAAAUUUAUUAAUAAUAUUAAAUUUAUAAUCAUUAAUUUUCCAAAACAAUUUAUUUACGUUUUUUUAUUUAUAUAUUUAACGAAUUAGUAAUAUAAAAUAUUUUAAUUUAUUUCAAUUAAUUCAAUUAUAUUUUUGAUUUAGUUAAUAUUUUAGAAAAAUAAAAUUUCAAAUUGAUUUAUUUCAAUUAAUUAAUUAAUUAUUUAGAAUUUGACUGAAAUUUAAUUUAAAAUCAAAUCAAAUUAAAAAAUUAAAAAUUAAAAUUUUAAUUUUAAAUUUUAUAAAAAUUAAAUUAAAUUAAUUUAAAUCAAACCGAUUUAAUUUAACUUAAUUAUAAUUUAAUAUCUUUAUAUUAUUAAAAAUAAUAUAUUAUCAUCAAUAAUUAGUUAGAUUCGAUUUUAUCAAAUUUUUUAUAAUUAAAAUUAAACUAAAUUAAAAUAAUUAAAAUUUUUAAAAAUAAAAUUAAGUUAAAAAAUAAAAAAUAAAAUUAAACUUUUAAAUUAAUUUAAUUUAAUUAAUUUUUUAAUUUAAAUUAAAUACUACUCACCCAAAAUAAUAUUAUCACUUCAAUAAGUGUAAAAAGAAAAAAAAGGAAAAGAAAGAGAGACUUAAGAGAUGGACUGAAAUAAUGAUCAUAUAAGGCUCCGGUUUUUUUAAAAAAUAAUUUAUAUUUAAGAAAUAUUUUCUAUAAAAAUAUAAUAAAAUAAUUUAUUUUUUUUUAAAAAUAUUUAAUAAAAAAUAUUUUUUAUUAAUUAUAUUUUUUUAAAUAUUAAAAAAUUGAAAAUAUUUUUUAUGCAUUCCAAAAUAGAAGCCUCCAGAAAUUAGAUUGAUCCAUCUAGUUCAAAUUCCCUUAAGUGUGAAAAGACCAUCAAUUUUUUUUUUUAAAAGCAAUGUCUAUAUAUUAAAUGAUUGCAACCGUGUAAACAAGUUGUUUUUUUGGUCAUACAAUUUGCCAAAUGGAACCAAUUGAUUGAUUAUUAUUAAUAAUAUUUCCCCUUGUGAUAAAGUUUCAAAAUAGGAUUUGGGUAUUGUUAAUUAAGUAAUAGUUACCCAACAAACCAUUUGAAAGUGAAAGUUUUAGGCAAUUUGAUUGGCCAAUGUGAACUAAAUGGGGCAAUUUGAUUUCAAUUAAGGAAAAAGAUGAUGUAAGACUAUGACUUUAAAUUUCUCUUUUUGCUUUCUAUAAAAGUUAGUGAUUUCACCUAUUGCUCUCCCUUUCAAUUCCCCAUUUCCUUAAAAAUAAAUAUCUUUGCUUCAUCUUUACUUGUCCAACUUUGCUUUUAGGACUUCUCCUAUUAACGCCAAAAUUGCCACCAGCUCAUUCAUCAUAGCAGUGUAAGCAAUCCGUCGGUUGAGUUUUAAUGAGUAAAUUAAAAAUUAAAAAUUUAAUAUUUAUAAAAAUUAAAUUCAAUUGAUUUUAUUAAAAAUUAAAUCGAAUCGAUUUAAUUUAGUUUAAUCGAUUUAAAUUUUUAAUAAAUUUUUUAUUUUUUACACUUUAUUUUUAAUAUUUUAAAAUUUAAUUAAAAUAUUUUUUAAUUUUAAUAUAAUUUAAUAUUUUUAUAUUAUUAAAAAUAAUAUAUUAUUAUCACUAAUUAGUUCGAUUUGAUUUUUUAAACUUUUUUAUUAAAAUUGAACCGAAAUAACUAAAAAUUUUAAAAUUAAAAAUCGAACUGAAAUGAAUAAAAAAUUAAAUUAAAAUUUUAAAUUAUUUAGUCAAUUUUUUCAAUUUAAAUCAAAUACUGCUAAAAUGACUCCAUUCUAAUUCUUAUCAUUAUUUAAAAAAAAAAUAAUUUAUUAACUAAAAAGUUUGUUUAUUUUAUACCUUAAUUUGUUAAGGAAUCUUGUAACCUUUCAAAGUUGCUUAAUUUUGUGAGCUUUUAAGGAGGUCUCUUAGUGGGUGAGGUGGCAUUCUGUGGUUCAUCAAAGAUUAGUGCAUCUAAGCUUUUGGCAUUGGAAUUAUUUUUAUUAUUAAUUAUUGCAAUAUAAUUUAGCACAAUCAUGGAAUUUUCCUCUUCAAGUUCAUUCAUAUGUCUACUUCUUCUACAGGAAAUUUCCUUCAUAAUGUAUCUUAACACAAAAGAGAGAUAAAAAAAAUAAAGGUAAAAAAAAAAUGUAAUCUUUACAAACAUGUCUCACCAUAUCUUUAGGCAAAGGAAGCUUUUCAUGAGAUAAGGUUAACUUCAAUUUCAUUCCCCUUUUAAAAUAUUAUCUGUAUGGAAUUUUAUUUAUAAAGUCAAUUUAUUUUAUUGAUUAUUUGUAUUUUUUAUUUAUAAUAUUAAAAAACAGAAAGAGUAGUAUAAUUUUACAAUUCACAUGGGAAACCUCAAUUAGUAUCAGACAAUCAUUACAACGUUUUAAGAUUGUUUAUUUCACAUAAGAUAAUUUAUAUAUAAAAAUAUUUUUAAAUUUUUGGGUAAAAGUGUUAGUCUCACCUCUGGUUGUGCGAGUUUCUCUCUCGCCUCUGCUUGUGCGGGGUUCGUCUUCUUGUCCUUUAAUAAUUUUCUGCGCAUUUGUUUUCUUCUUUAAUUUGUCUCUUUUCAUCUCUUUUUUAUCUUUCUUUUUGUGUGUCCUUUUGGUUUUUUCUAUUUUUUUCUGGAGAAUUUAUUUCUGCGCAUAUGAAGUAAGUCAUGGAUACUCUUUUCUUGGUAGGUAAUGAGAAUGGAGACAAAAUUCUUCCACUUACAGAGAUUGUAGAGUAUAGUGUUCUUUCUUUUAAUGAAUUCAGUCUAGUGGAAUAGUUGCUAAUUGAGAAGCAUAUUAAUUUUGAGUCUUUUAGAAACACGACGUCUGGGCUUUAGUAUCCUCAUAGAGGUGUUUUCAUGCAGAAAGUGGGCCAACAUUGAUUUCUCAUCCAAUUUUUCCAUGCAGUCGAUUUCAACCUGUCAUGGAUGGGUCCCUGUGGACUUUCUUAUUGGUUCUCCACCAUUUAAAACAAGAAAAAAGCUUCACAGUUGUCCCUUUAUUUCAUGCUUUUUUUGGAUUCAAGCAUUCAAUCUUCCUGUGGAUUACUGUAAAGAAGCAGUGGCUAUAUUUCUUAUGAACUUUAUGGGAAAGUUUGUUGCCUGUGAUUCAGCUGUUGUCACUAGAAGAUGGCAAUCUUAUCUUCGAUUUAGAGUUGAAAUUGAUAUUCGACGGCCCUUAAAAUGGCUAAAGAAAGUUGCUAUAAGAGAUGGGAUGAAGCUGCAGGUUAUUUUUAAAUAUGAAAAGUUGCCACCUUUUUGUUAUUUGUGCAGUAAAUUGGGACAUACAGAAUAAUAUUGUGAGGGGUUAUUUGAUGCUGCUUUGGUGUUGGCUCCAAGAGAUUGGAGUCCAUAGUUGCGUGUUGAUGCGAGACAGACUUCCUCAAAGGGUAAUAGGUGGCUUCGUGAUAGAUUUGGGAGUUGUUGUGGUAUAUGGUGAUGGUUCUUCUCUGAUGGGUGGUUAUAGGGUCUCGGUUGGCAAUGUGAACCAAGAAGGUCUAUGUGCUGAUAUGAAUGAUACUCAAUCCAUGCAAGUGGAUUCUCUGAGCAACAAUGUCCACGGAAAAAAUCUAGAAUUGGAGGCUGAUGUUGCUUUAUUAGAUGAAUACACCAAACGACCCCGAAUGGGUUAUGAAUUAUCAGUUACUAUUGUUGGGGGUGAUGACUCAGGUGAUUUGGAUUCUGCUUCAGUUAAUUCUAAUGUUAUUCAAGUGGUGUGUUCUGGUCUCCAAGCCCAUCGAGGGUUAUGGUUUGCUUAAGUUGUAAUUGCCUGAGUCUUGGCAAUCUCCGUGCAGUUCGUGCUUUAAAGGAGCUUAUAAUUGUGAAUAGACUUAAUGAUAAAGGACUAUUUAGAUUCUGUCAGGAGUUUUAACCAAUAUCGCUUGGCUAAGACGAUAUAAGAGAAAGAUAGGCUAGAAACUGAAAAAACUUAUUGAAAUUAUUUAAAGAUUGAAAAGUGAGUCUCUAAUAGAUAAGGAAGGCUAUUUAUAAUAAAAAAAAAACCCUUAAUAUGCAAAAUUAUAAAAAUAUUUAAAAAAUAAUUAAAAUGCAAAAUUGACUCCCUAAACGAUGGAAUUUUCAUAUCAAACUUUGUGACGUGCGUCUUUUAAAAGUCAUGUAUCUCGAAGUUUCCUUUUCGAAAAGCUAUCGUGGGUCUCUAUCAGAUAUCGACAGCAAAAGUUAGGCCCGGUCCAAGUCUGCCAUAAAAUCCAAGACUAAUUGCUCCGUGUCAUUCCCUUCCACUUGUAAAGAACUCGACCUUGAGUUGUCAUCAACAUGGUAGUACUGAAAUAGAUCCACCACGUUAAACGCCUUGAAAAUUUUCAUCUCAUUUGGGAGGUCAAGAACAUAGGCGUUGUCAUUAAUUUUCUGAAUGAUCCGAAAUGGAUCAAUCUUCUUAGCGUCAAGCUUUUUCUGUCCUCCUCCACGCUCCUUGCGUAAAUACACCAUAACUUGGUCACCGACAUUGAAGGACUUAAAAUGUCAAUAUUUAUCAGCUGUAGCUUUAUAUUUAUCAUUAGCUUCUGUAGGCAUUAUUGUACCUGUUUGAAAACAUCCACGUGAUGCUUUGCCAAGUUGUUUACUGUAAUACCGUUGUCAAAACCUAUGGGAAGGGCAAUAAGAUCAACUGUAUGCGCUAGGACUUUCCUGUACACAACUACAAACGGUGACAUCUUUGUGGAGCUGUGGACAACACUAUUGUAAGCAAAUUCUGUUUGGGCAAGAGCAAGAUCCCAAGCAGUUUUUUUAUUACUGCAAAUGCAACGCAGAAGAUUGCCAAGCGUGCGGUUCACCACUUCAGUUUUUCUAUCAGUUUGGGGAUGGGUAGCACUACUGUAUCGAAAUUUAGUUCCAAAACGUUUCCAUAAAGUCACCUAAAAAUGAGCUAGAAACUUCACAUCUCUGUCAGAAGUAAUGAUCUUAGGGAUGCCAUGUAAGCGAACAACCUCCUGGAAAAACAGUUUUGCCAUAUGAGAAGCAUAAUUAGUUUUCUUGCAAGGAAUGAAAUGUGCCAUUUUGGAGAACCCUGGGUGAAUAACCCUCGAGACUCUAAAUAGUCCAUUCUAGUUUUCGCCAACUUACUAAACUCAGCAUUACCGCCUGUUGCAUCUUUUGUGAUUCGCUUAUUUUGCCUUACCAUCACUAGGUUUUUUUGCAAUUACAUGAAUAACCCCUAUAGAUUCACGGCCAAGGAUAGUUCCACAAUUUGUUACCUCGGAUUUGAGCGUCCUCUCUUCUAUAUUUUUUUGGCAAACUUUCAAAGUGUGUCAUCUCUUAUUAACCUCUCAAUCUCAUCUUUUAUUUGCUAAUACUACUCCGUUGUAUGUUCAUGCUCUUCGUGAAAGCGGCAGUACUUGGUCCUGUCUCGCCUUUCAGUUCUCUCAGGGUUGAGCUUGGGAGGUCACCUGAUCUCCUUGUCGUUUUUCCUGCUCUAUAUUAGAAUACGUUUCUGUGAGUCAUUUAAUGGAGUAUAGUUCUUAUACUUACUUUGGUCUUCUCUUCUUUGAGAGACUGUACAACUUCUGCAGUCUUUUUCAUAUCCUCGCCUCUCCACCUUUUGGCUUUGCUUUUGACUUGUCUUUUUAUCCUUUUUCAACGUUUGGACUUCGUCAUUCAGCCUGAUGUAUUUAUGGGAUUCGUCCAUUAGCUGUUGGUAUGUAGCAGCUAGGUUCUUGAUUAGGGAAUCCAUGAACUUGACGUUAUGUAUUUCUUUUUUAAAUACUUUACAUGCUAUCUCAUGAUUUAAUUCCUUCACCUAUAUUACUUUUGCAUUAAAUCUUGAGAUAAAACUCCUUAAAGACUUGCUCUCUUCGUGGUGGAUCUUUCGCAAGUCAGAGUAGAGUUUUUUAGGAGAUAUACAAGUAAUAAACAUAGACUUAAAUAACAUACUAAAUUGUGUAAAAUUUUGAAUUAAACCUGUGCUCAGAUGUUAGUAUCUUUUCUGAACCAAACCUAUGAGUGUUGAUGGGAACACUCAACACAAUACAAAUUCGUUGGCAUCUUGAAACUGCAUAAUCGUCUUAAAGAUCGCUAGGUAACUCCUAGGGUAUUUUGUUUCAUCAUAAUUAUCCAUGCUCGGCAGUUUGAACUUAGCUGAAAAAGUUUCUGCUGAGAUCUCUUCUGAUAAGGGAGAGGCACCGUCCAUACCGAAGUCCUCCUCCUGCUCCUUCUGGUAUCUCUGAACAGCCCGUACCAAAUUCCAGUCGAUGUCUUUCGGAACAUCGUCUGAUAACUCUUUUUCUUCAAACUUGGCAUUCCCUCUGGACUGCGUCUGGAUCGCCUCUGUCUGGAUCCUUAGGGUAUCUACGGACGCUUCCUCCCUUUCCUUGGGAGCCAUGAAUGAUGCCUCCUUCCGAGCUUUGUAUUGCUCAAGAGUGACUUGCAACCUCCUAAUGUAUUGGAGCAUUUGCUCAUUAUUCAGAUUGUUGAGAUCUACAUUGUUUACAAUAGGAGUUGUGUUUUGUCCACUGCUAGGAGUGGAAGAAAUGAUAGCGCUCUCAUUGGUAGCAACCCUAAUAGUAGCUCAUGAAUUGCCAGCCAUUUCGGGAGAUAAAAGAGAGAUUUCUUUCUACGAGAAAAAGGAAUAAGAGUUGUGUUGUGAUUAGUCAAUCCUGCAAGAGAGAGAAAGUGAGGUGGUUAGCGCUUGCUUAUGGCAGCCACUCUGAUGCUUAAGUUAGUAAACUAGAGAAUAGGGUAAAUGUAAAGAAUUGCUUAGAACUCAAGAGUAGUUCUAUAAGAAUUGCGUACAUUUAUCUUUGUGAUUAUUAGCUUUUAUACUGUAAGAAAAUGGAGUUAAUUAUAUUAUUUUCUGAAAAUCUGACAAUGAUGUUGCAGGCUAAUUGGUAAGGGAUUUCGCCGGCUAAUCGGUCAGAAAUCCCUCGAUUACAGACGUAAUGGGUAUCUGUUGGAUUGUGUCAGUCUUGAUAAAGAAUCGAGUGCAACAGUGUCUGGAUCUUCCUUCCCUCGGAUGAAAUCGCAUAUCGGUUUAUUAGACCAUUGCCACGUAACCUUAUCUUAACAGCUCAUAAUUUACUUUGGACGAUUAUCGUGUAACAUCAUACAUCUUCUGACAUUUGAAAUGGUUAGAAAAAUUAUUAAUAAAAAAUAGUUUUCUUAAUUACACAAAAAUUAUGUAAUUUCUUUAAAAAUUGUUUACUCUUUAAAAAACGAUAUUUUUUAUAUUUUAAAAAUUUUAUUAUAUAAAUGUUUAUUAAUAUUUUUUAAAUUAAAAUUACAUAAUAAAAAAUAAAUUAUUUUGUUUGAAAAUAUUUUUCAUUUAAACUAUUUUUUAGUUCAAAAAUAUUUUCAAAUAAAAGUUAUUUUUCAUAAAUAAAUAGAAGCUUAAUUAAAAAUGCAAUUUAAUUUUGUUGUUAAAAGAAGAUUUAAUUUAAAAGAGGUUCUACCGCCUUUUUUCUAAAUACUCCAAAAUUUUGUAAUGAAAUUAAAUUGCUGCUAAAAUUAAAUAUUUUUUUAAAAUCUCUACAAUUUAUUUCCAAAAAUAUAAAAAAAUUAUUUAUGGCAUUAAAUUUAAUGCAUUCAUAGGUUUAAUCAAGUGGUAAAUGCAUCUGAGUAAAUUUGAGAAGUUUCAGAUUCUAUUUUCCUAUCUUCCAGUUUAAAAAAAAAUAUUAAAUUUAAUAAUGAAAUUGAAUUCUAAUGUUGCACAAAGAAAUGAAAAAUUUUAUAAGUUCGCAUAGAGAUACAGUAACAGACCGAAUAAUUUAUUGCUACAUCAUGUGACAAUAUUUUUUCGUACUAAUAUUAGCUAUGGAAUUCUAAACCAUUGAUAUAUUCUCUUGUUAUUUUAUUAUUAUUUGAUUGCUUUCUUUUUUAUUUUUAACGUGCACAUCAGUUAAAACAAAAUUUAAAUGUAAAAAUUAUAUACAAAGUUCAAAUAAAAGUUCAAUCUAACUCAACGAAUCAAUCAUCACUAGACCAACUCUUUCUAUUCUAGAAAAACUCUAGAAGUAUCCAUUCUUGCUACAGUCAGAGAAACUAUCUAGAGAAACUCAAACUUUGUUGCUGAUGAAGCUCAUUGCCGAGAGGUGACAAGUUAGUAUUUGAUCUCUCAUUCUCACCUAGUCACAUGAUAGAAAGGUUGAUAUAGUAGCAGAAUUAACCUCUAGAUACACUUAUCAACAUGUAUUAGAAGCCUCUAAAUAGAGAAAACAUUGAUUCUAUGGAAGAUACAAAGCAGCCUUUGUCAGCAGUAUCUAAUCUAGAUCUCACAAAAUCUCCUUCUUUUUAAGAUAUGAUAUGAAAAAUUACAAAGGAUAGAAAGAAGCAGGAAGAUACAAACUCCGCAAAAAUCUGCACGGGAGGGGAGGAGAUACUAUUGUCGAAUUGAGCAGUAAAGAAAUAGACGAAUGUAAGCCUUUUCUUGUCUUAAAGUAAGGAAAUGUAUUGAGAGAUACAUACUAUACUUCUAAAGAAAGAAAAACUAGAAAUUUUUUGACAUUAUACCAAUCUUUUGACAUUAAAUUUAUUAAUAAAUUCUUGUUCGUUGUUAUUUUUCGAUGAUAAUAUAUUCUAUUUCUAUUCUAUUGUUAUUUAAGAAUUAGGGAAAUGUUCAUUUACAUUAUAGUUGUCUGUUUUUUUGUUUAUGUAGUUAUUAGUAUUACAUUUUUUUAUUACUACCGAUUAAAAAGCGUUUUUAAAAUAAAAAAAUUCCAAAUUGAAAACUACAAAUAUUACUAAUUAAAAAACAUUUUUAAAAUAAAAAAAAUUUAAAUUGAAAACUACAAAUAUUAAUUUUCCUUUUACAGAUUUUUACAAGCAUAUUUAUUUUCUUUUUUUAAAUACACAUUCACUCAAUUAAUUUAUAAAAUAUAUGUUUAUUUUAUUAUUAUAAGAUAAAUUUAUUAUUUAGUCUCUAUUGUAUAGAAAAACUUAUUAAUUAGUCAUCUGAUUUAAAAAAAAUUAAAAUAUCUCUGAAAGUUUUAAAAAAUAUACUAAUUAGUUUUUUCAUUAAUUUUAGUUGUUAAGUAUCUUACUAUUUAGUCCCUAUAAUAUGAAAAAAAUUCAUUGAUUGAUCCUUUAAUUUUAUAAAAUAUUUAAUAAUUAGUCCCUCGGUAAUGAAAUUAUUUUAGAUUUUUUUUUUUUAUAAUACUUAAUGGCUACAAUUAAUAGGACUAAUUAAUAGACUUUUAAAACCUCAAAGAUAUUUUGAUGUAUUUUUAAAAUCAAGAGACUAACUAAUCAAUUUCAUAUACCAUAUGGCCAAAUAAUAAUUUUUUCUUAUUAUAAUAUCAUAUACUUUGUAAAUUUUGUGAACUAUUGAUAAAAUUAAUUGUAUUUUUAUUUUAUUAUUAAAUAUCAUAUUUAAAAAAAUGAUGCGACAUGAUAAUCGCUCAAAAUAGGUGAAGAGCUAUCACCAUAAGAUAGGGCCACGAGGUAAGGAUCUAAUAAGCUGAUACGCGGUUCCACCAAUAGAAAGGAAGACACGAACACUAUAACAACUGAUUAUUCCUCAAGACUCACCCUCUCUUGAGCAGGGUGAUGUUUUACAAAAAGUUAUUGUUAGCAAAUAUAAUUCAGUAGAUUCCAUUACACCUAUAAUCGCGAGAUCCCUUAUCCACUAGCCAGUACCAGUCGAAUUUUUAGGAGAUUUGAUAACCAACUCCACUUUCUUAUAAUAUAAAUGCUAAUGAAUACAGAGGUCAAGGUACACAUUCUUAUAUAACUAUUCUUGAGUUUUAAAUAAUUCAUUACAUUCGCCCAUUUUACCAGUUUGUUGACUUAGCGUCGGAGUGACUGUUGUAGGCGCCAACCAUCUACAUUUUCUUGUUUUAUUUGUUUACUUUCAGUUUUAUUAUUUUUAUUUUAGCUAUUUGAGUCAUUAUUAAUUUAUUUUAUUUUUUAUUUUAUUUGUUUAAAAAAAAAGAAAAAAAUUUUUAUUUCAGUAGUGUGAGAUUUUUUUUAAAAAAAAAAGUACAAAAAAAAGUAUGGCAUAUAGAAGAUCCAAGAAAUUCCAUCCAAAGAACCAACAAGAGAUCCUUAAAUCCUUAAGUGAAAAUUGUGAUCUCAUAAAAGCGCGGAUCAAAGAAUUCUAAGAAGAAGCGAAAGUCUUAGAGAAUCUUCUACUACAAUGGGCAAAACAAUCUCAAUUACCACCAUAAUAUAUUGAUAAUAAAGAGGUUUUAACCAUAUUUGAGGAGAAAUAUUUUGAGAAAUAAAUCAUAAUUGAGACCAAACAUAUUGAAGAGGAUUAUUCUGUUGAAAAAAAUCUAUGCAGUUGAUAUAUAAGCUCCUUCAAAAGAUCAAAGUCAUGACAAUCAAGUUGCUUGUGAGAUUGUUGCUAAAGAAAACAAGCUCAAAGAUGAGUAUGUGUACACCGAUCCUUUUCUCACUAUUAUGCGUAUUAAUUUGAUGACGAAGCUUCUUGAGGAGGAAAAGUCGAUGCGUGCAUAAAGGGGGCAAUACUUUUCAAAGACUUGAAGUGUAAGAACGUGUUGAUAUUCUUUGAGUAUUCAACUAGGCAAGUAAAGAAUCAUGAGGAAUCAAGUACAAGUCGAAUUCUUCAUGCUGAACCUGGUCAAGAGCGAUGAGGAUUGCUUUAGGCGCGAAACAGAAGUUAGGUUUAUAGAUGGUAAGGUGAAAGUAUCAUAAAUAGAGUUUGAAACCUACAAGGUCUAGCAAUGGUGUGACUACAUGGUCACAUUGUGGAUAUUGAAUACGAUAUCCAAAGACCUAGUAGAAGGAUUCAUCUCACCACCUCUGCCAGAGAACUGUGGCUAGAAAUCAUUGAGCGAUAUAGUGAGUGCAACGGACUUAUGAUUUAUGAAAUCCAAAGGAGAAUAGCCGCCAUCUCGCAAGAAAAUACUUUUGUAUCUAUGUAUUUUACCAGAUUAAAGCAGAUAUGGGAUGAGUUGAGUACUAUGGAGCUUUUACCAUCUUGUACUUGUGAUGUUUCAAAGAUAAUGGAUGGGAUCUAUAAUAAGCAGAAGAUUAUGUGAUUCUUGAUGGGGCUCAAUAAUACUUUUGAGCCGGUGAAGGAUCGAGUGCUGAUGAUGGAUCCAUUACCAUCAGUUAGUAAGGCCUAUUCCACAGUGAUGAAAUUUGAAGCUCAGAAGCAAAUUUCAUCCGCCUUUUUUGGGAGUUUUGAAUCUGUGUACCUUUUCAAUAAGACACAGCCUAAUUUUCCAAGCUAUAAAAGAGAGCAUAAGAAAUAUGACUAAGAAAGGUCAUUGUACACAUUGUGAAAUCUAUUUGAUUUCUCUCUAGAGAAUGGUAGGCCGAAAGAAUUUGGCAUUCUAUUGAAUACUCUUCAAACUGAAUUCAGUAGGAUGGUCAAGAGCAAGAGUAUUGCUUGUGUGGGAUCCAUUAAAGGACUGUUCACAAACAUACACGAUUUUGCUGAUAAUUCUCAUUCUAUUAGUAUUCUUGCUGCUACUAUUUAUGAUAUCAAUUUAUGGAUUAUAGAUAUUGGUGCUACAGAUCACAUGUCAUCUACCAAAUACUGUUUUGACUCUUUGACUUUCUUGCUCACUCUUACUCUUGUUCAUUUACCUAAUGGCACAACCACUAAGGUUUCUCAUAAUGGAAACAUAACUUUGAAUUCAAACCUCACUCUACAAAAUGUUCUAUACAUUCUUAACUUUUAGUAUAGCUUACUAUCAGUUAGUAAACUCCUAAAAAAUACUCAAUUUCAGCUCAUUUUUAUCCCACAUGUUGUGUCUUCCAGAACCAACAGAUUGAUAAUAUUAUAGCAGUUGGAAAUGAGGAAGUAGGUCUAUAUAGAAUGGAUAAGUUGAGCUUCUUAUCCUUUUUCAUAAAUCAAAAUCUAAAAAAUUUAAAUAAUGUGUAUGUUGGUCAGUUUUUACACAAAGCUUCUAUACCAAUUGUAAAUACCAUGUGUUUUAAUCAUUCUACUAAUAAAGAAAGUCUUACUUCAAAUUCUUUUUUCUCUACUCUACAUGCUAAACUAGGACAUACUUUAGUUCACAAAAUGUUACAUAUUUCAAAAUUGAAUGUUGAUAUGGAAAAUAGUUUUUAAUGCUUAAUUUUUCCUUUAGCUAAGUAACAUAGAUUGUCUUUUCAUCUUUCAUAAUCUCACACUACUACAGCCUUUGGGUUGGUUCAUAUGGACCUAUGGGGCCCAUAUCAAGUUCAGUUUGUCACUAGGACUAAAUACUUAACUAUGAUAGAUGAUUAUAGUAAAACUAUCUAGACUUUCAUGAUGCAACAUAAAUCUCAAUAUUCUAAUCUAAUGGAAAAAUUCUUGUCAUGGUGCAUAAUUAAUUUGAAAUAGUAGUUAAAGGUUAUUAGAAGUGACAAUGGUAGAGAGUUUCUUAACACACAAUGUGAGAAUUUAUCUAUAGAAAAGGGGAUAAUUCACCAAACUUACUGUCCAUAUACUCCACGAUAAAAUAGAGUAGUUAAAAGAAAACAUAGGUGUUUAUUAGAAGUUGAUAGAGCAUUCAAAUUUCAUGCUCAAUUACUCAAAAAAUUAUGGUCUGAAUGUGUGCUUCCUGCCACAUAUAUUAUUAAUAGAUUGCCUGUAAAAAAAUUAAACUGGUUGACUCCUUAUUAAAUAUUUCAUAAAAGAAAAUCUAAAUAUGAUCAUUUGAGAGUGAUUAGGUGUUUAUCUUAUGCUUAUAAUGUUGCAUCUAAUAAAAAUAAAAUGGAUCAAAGGGGAAUAAAAUCUAUUUUAUUGGGUUAUUCUUGCUCAUAAAAAAUGUCUCCCUACUCAACAAGAGCUUCAACCAUUUCACCACACACAAAGAAGAUCCACUAGACAACUAAUAAAACCUAGUUGGCUUAAAGACUUUGAAAAGUUUACUUAAAUCCUCAAUAAAAUUUUUGGUCCAUUGAACCACUUAAAGUAAAUAAUAUUAAUCAAUUAAUUUAAAAAGUUAAUUGUCAUUUAUUCUUCCGGUAAAUGGAGAGAAAUUCUUCUCAUUUCCAUCCCAAAUAAAAGCAUAAUCUAUUUUGAUUGCUUUGUCCUCUGUAGCCAUUUUUCUAUCCAUAAUUGCAAGAUUGAUUAUGGGUUGUGUAAUACUAGGCUAGACUCCGGUAUCGGAAUUCCUACCGUCCGGUGGAAUCUCGGAUGUCGAAAACCUCUAGAAGGGUAAAAUCAUGUUUUUAUAAAAUGUUUUCAUGUAUUUUAUAGUUUUUAUGAAGAAAGGAAUUGAGUUAAAGUUUUAAAGAAAAGAAAGAAAGAGAAUGAAGGAAGGGCCCAGGUUCGGCCGCCGAACCUCAAGUUCGGCGGCCGAACAUGGGAUGCAUGCGGAGGCACGUUAGGCCCCUGAAAGUGGCCUGGCCAGCCACCUAUAAAGGGGUCCCCUGUCCGAAAUGGGCGAGUUUUCUCUCCCCAUUUUGGGCCAAGGUGAGUCUCCGUCCUCCCUUGUCGAUCUUGUGUUCUUCCUUCAAGUCUCUUUUGUUUUUACAAGUUACUUAACUUGGUUUUGAAGAUUUUUGGAGCUAAGAUCAAGAUUUGAAGCUUGGAGACCCCGGAGCUUUCUUCCUCCAUUUCUCCAAGUUUAGGUCGCCUCCCUCUCGAUCUUCAAGAGGUAAGGGUAGAUCUUUAGCUUAUCCCAUAUUUUAAACAAGUUUUAUGAGGGGUUAUGGGGUAGAAAUGCAUGUUUAGGUUAGUUGAUUGUUGUUACGGUUAAUGUUGAGUUUAUGGUCAAUGUAUGUUGUAUGUGUAUAUACUUUGUGUUGUUGUUGGGGUUUAGGAUAAUUUGAGACCCCUAUAUGCUUAUGAAUGUGUUUAUGCAUGUUUAGAAGUGUUGUGUUUGAGUUUGGAAGGUUUGGGAGGCAAAAUGUACAUGAGGAGGCUGAGUUCUGCCACUUUGAAAGAACUCAGGUUCGGCAGCCGAAGGCACUUUCGGCCGCCGAACCUGCCUAUGGUGGCAAGCUUUUGGCUGCCAAACUCUGCCCCCGAAAGUUGGACUUUCGGCUCUGGAGGGGAGUUUCGGCCACCGAAAGUGCCGCCGAAAGUGGCUGAGUUUUGGCUCUGGAGGGACUUUCGGCCGCCAAACCUGCCGUCGAAAGUGCCCUGUUCAGCCUUCCUUUGCAUGAUUUCUAUGAUUGUUUUAUGAUGUUUUAUGGGGUUUUUGGGGAGUAGUUUAGAGUUAUGUUCGUAUAUGUUUGGUCUCUCAUUUGAGUCCACCUGUGUAGGUUUGGACCCGAGGAACCGAGGACCCCAGCAGUGAGAUAGCUGCUUCUGAGUCAGCCUGAGGUGAGUAGAAUGGAUCUUUAUGUUUCAAAGUAAAUAAAUAAAUUUUGAGCAUGUUCAUGCAUCACGAAUGCCAUGAUAUAUACUAGGUUGUUUGUAUUAGAAUUCACGAAUAUGUUGCAUUGAAUAAUAUGAUGUUGAUGUGGAUGGACAUUGAAUGAUCCAUUAUCUCUCGUAUGAAAUGAUAUGAUAUGAUGAUGAUACGGUAUGGAAGUCUAGGAAGACCCAUUCUAUGUCCUUGGCACUAUGUAAGAGAAAGUUCAGGAAGACCCAUUCUACGUCCCUGGCACAUUGGAAUGUUAUGAUUUGUUAUGUAAGGGAAAGACCAGAGACCCAUUCUACGUCCUGGCACUAUUGGAUAUGUAGAGGGCUAUUGGUGACAAGUUCAUCCUUAAUGUGAUUUGUUUGUGAUGUGAUGCAUUUCAUGAAAAGCAUGAAUCUUUAAUAUAAUGUUUUACUAUUCUGCUCACUAGGCUCUAGUAGCUCACCCCAUUUCCUUAACCCCCAGGUUUGCAGGUACAAGAUAGACUAGGAAAUCAGCAAGAGUAAAGAAGUCAUGUUUUAUGUAAUAGUUAGAAGUGGAUAUGAAAGAUAAUGUAUUAUAAGAUAUUAUUCAGUUAUGUUUAUGAGGAUUAGAAUUGUACUUGACCCUAGAGUUAUAGUUAAUCCUUUUGUACAUGAUCUAUGUAAUGUUGUAUUGAUGUUAUGUAAACCAAGCUAAUGUAUGAUAUGUUACCUCAUUGGAGCAUUUGAUGAGGGCUCGAGUGUGGGGUUUUUUUUAUUAUUAGUUUGUGCAUGCACAGAUUAAGCUUGGUAAUGGAAAGAAAAAGUCUAAAGUUUUAUGUAUUUGUAUGAUCAUAUAUGGGAUUGCACAGGUACAGGAUGUAUGUUAGGCUUGCUACGGGUCCCGGCGACUUUACAUCGAUCUGAAUCCUAGUGCCGAUAGCGGUCCGAUUUUUUGGGUCGUUAUAGAUUGGUAUCAGAGCCCUAGGUUUUAUAUGGUCGGACGUAUAGUGUGUCGGGCUCAUAAAGGUUAUAGAAGGGCAAGCACAAUAAGAAAGAUCAUGUCCACUAGGAUAGGAUACAGAGUCCAGUCUUAUAUGAUGAUGUGAAAUGCCAUGAUAACAUGCAUGUGCAUUAAUGAUAUGUGAUGUACGUGAUGCAGGUUCAUGUGUUUCCACAUGAACCAUAUGAUGCUAAUGUUUUAUGUGAUGUGUGCUGUUUUUCAGAAGAUAGGAUGAGAGGAACUCGUCGAUCUGCACGAUUGACUGGAGUACCACCUCAGGAUGAGGGCAUGAAUGCCCGUCCUCCUGCAUUGCCUAGAGCAAUGUCAUGCAGGUCUAGUAGGGAGAGAGUGUCAAGGGACCCUAGAAGGUCUUUUGAUAUGAGCAGAAGAGGAACAGUUCAGGGAGGAGUGUCAGAAGAUGUGGGGGAUGAUAUGGAUGUGGAUUAGAGGAGGGAUGGCAGUCUUGGUGUGAGCAUGUCUGAAGAGGGUAUGGGAGAGUCACAGGGAGGCACUCAGGCCUCGGGGUUUGUUCAACCACCCCAGUACCCACUCUUUUCACAAAAUCCAGGGUAUUCGAUGGGAGGUACAUCGGAUUACCCCAGCUUUAACCCUUAUCCUCCUUACAUGCCAUACCCACCUUUCUACCCACCAUACCCACAGUACCCUAUGUACCCACCCCCAUCUUUCUAUCCAGGUACAGCAAACCCUAACCCAGGGGAUGUUGCACCUCCUCCACCACCAGCAAAACCUAUAGUUCCAAAAGUCCAAACACCUAAACCUAACUCAUCUGGAGGGAGCAAGGUCAAGAUGACAGACUACUUGAAGUUGGAUGCUCCCAAAUAUGAAACAAGUGAUGAUCUGUUUGAGUAUCUCAAGACGGUGAAGAUUAUUACAGAUGAGUUAGGGGUAGAUGACAGUAGAGCCAUUCAGAUGGCUGGGUUCACACUGAAAUGCAAGAAAGCCCCAGAGUGGUUUGAAAACUAUGUGAACCCGAGGUUGGAUAGUCUAUCCUGGGAGGAAUUUGCUAAUGAGUUUACAAGAUGGGCUUUCCCUGAUAGCUCAAGGGAAUUGAAGAUGAUCGAGUUUGAGCAGUUGAGGCAGACGGAAGAGAUGAGUGUAGAUGAGUACACUGAUAGAUUCUUAGAGCUGUUACCAUUUGCAGGGCAAACCCUUGACACAGACCAGAAGAAGGCUAGGAGGUAUAUCAUGAGGCUUCAUUCUAGGUAUUCCUCCUUGAUCCAAUCAGCAGAAAGGGAGAGCUUUCAUGCCAUAGUGGAUAUGGCCCGGAAAAUGGAGGCUAGUGCAAUCAUUGAAGGGAAGCUUAAGCAGUCUGUGGCACAGUCUUUGGGUUCCAAGACCCCAGGUGGGGGAAGGUUAGAUCCCUCUUCUUUGAGUACAACAGCUUCAGGUAGUAAAAAGUGGGCUAAUACCACUAAGAAGCCAAAGAAGAACAAGUUCUGGAAUCGCUUGAAGUUAGGUCUGGGAUUAGGAGGUGACUCGAGCUCAGGUCCAGAUAGUGCAGUAUGUUUGAGGUGUGGUAAGCCACAUAAGGGAGUAUGUCGGUAUGGGAUGACAGCCUGCUUCAGAUGUGGGCAGGAGGUACACAUGGCACGGGAGUGUCCUAGAGCACCUUUUAUGGCACAGUCCCAGCAGACAGCUUCUGGUAGUGUGGCUCAACCAGUAGCUCUAGCCGCGACACAGGGCAGCAGCAGAGGCAGAGGGAGAGGGGCAGCCUCUUCUUCAGCGGGUUUUCGUGGUGAAGGUCCAUCAGCUCCAGCACGGAUCUUCACGAUGACACAGCAAGAGGCUAAUGCAUCCAACACCGUGGUGUCAGGUAAUCUCAUCAUUGGUUGUUUAGAUGUGUAUGCCUUAAUAGACCCUGGUGCAUCUCAUUCUUUUGUUGCUCCGAGAGCCGUAGAGAGGUUGGGUUUGAUGGUCUCUGGGUUAGAGUGUCCCCUUUGGGUAGUGGACCCAAGUGUGAUCCAUCAGUGGCGGAGUCAGUCUGCCGGUUUAGUCCAGUCUUUGUUGAGGAAAGAUGCCUUCCAGCCGACCUUGUGGUUCUAGACUUGAUAGAUUUUGAUGUCAUUCUAGGGAUGGAUUGGCUAUCUACCCAUGGUGCUACCUUGGACUGCAGAGACAAGGUAGUCAGGUUUAGAGGUCAGGAUGGGUCAGAGGUUGUCUUUAGAGGAGACAGGAGGGGUACACCUAGAGGUUUGAUAUCAGCCCUACAGGCUCGUAGGUUGCUCAGGAGGGGUUGUCAGGGUUUUCUAGCUCAUGUGAGAGAGCUUGAUAGUCAGGUUAGAGAGCCCGCCUCAGUGCCCGUGGUCAGGGAGUUUUUAGAUGUCUUCCCAGACGAGCUGCCAGGUUUACCACCUGCUAGGGAGAUAGAGUUCAAAAUAGAGUUGAUGCCUGGAACCAGACCGAUCUCUAUCCCUCCUUACAGGAUGGCACCAGCUGAGUUGAAAGAGUUGAAGGAACAGUUGCAAGAUCUGGUGGACAAGGGUUUCAUCCGACCGAGUACCUCACCCUGGGGUGCUCCAGUGCUUUUUGUGAGAAAGAAGGAUGGAUCCCUCAGACUUUGUAUCGACUACAGGCAGUUGAACAAAGUCACUACCAAGAACAAGUAUCAGAAGUUUAUGUGGUCUGACCAGUGUGAAGAGAGUUUUGAAGAGCUAAAGAAGAGGUUAACGUCAGCACCGAUAUUAGCUCUGCCCAACAGUAAUGAGGGUUUCACAGUGUAUUGUGAUGCGUCCCGUGUGGAAUUAGGUUGUGUGUUGAUGCAGAAUGAAAGGGUGAUUGCUUAUGCUUCUAGGCAGCUAAAGAAGCACGAGUUGAAUUACCCUACACAUGACCUAGAGAUGGCAGUUGUGAUCUUUGCACUCAAGAUGUGGAGGCAUUACCUUUAUGGAGUUAAAUGUGAGAUCUUCACAGAUCAUAAAAGCCUGCAGUACAUCCUGAGUCAGAGAGAGUUGAACCUGAGAUAGAGAAGAUGGGUGGAACUGCUUAGUGACUAUGAUUGCAAGAUUCAGUACCAUCCGGGUAAGGCGAAUGUUGUGGCAGACGCCCUAAGCCGGAAAUCACUUGGCAGUUUGUCCCAUAUCACAGCAGAGAGGAGACCGGUAGUGAGAGAGCUCUACAAGCUCAUUAAUGAAGGGCUGCAGUUAGAGUUGUCUGGUACAGGUACUUUGAUAGCCCAGAUGAGAGUGACACCUGUAUUUCUGGAGCAGGUGGCUCAGAAACAGCAUGAGGACCUAGAGUUAGUAAAGAUUGCCAGGACUGUUCAGUCAGGCAAGAGUGAUGAGUUUAGAUUUGACAGCAAAGGGAUCCUCCGCUAUGGGAAUAGAUUGUGUGUACCAGAUGACGUAAGUCUAAAGGGAGACAUUAUGAGGGAGGCUCAUAAUGCCAGAUACAGUGUUCACCCUGGAGCCACCAAAAUGUACCAGGAUCUGAAAAGAGUCUAUUGGUGGCCAGCUAUAAAGAGAGAAGUGGCACAGUUCAUGUCCACCUGCGAAGUAUGUCAGAGGGUGAAGCUGAAACAUCAGAAGCCAGUUGGAAUGCUUAACCAACUGCCGAUUCCAGAGUGGAAAUGGGAGAAUAUAGCUAUGGAUUUCGUGGUGGGGUUACCAGCAACGUCCAACAGAUUAGACUCCAUAUGGGUGAUUGUGGACAGAUUGACCAAAUCUGCUCACUUCAUCCCUGUCAGGAGUGGCUACUCUGUGGAUAAAUUGGCGCAAGUGUUUGUUGAUGAAGUGGUCAGGUUUCAUGGGGCUCCUGUUUCAAUAGUGUCAAAUAGGGGACCCCAGUUCACCUCCAGGUUUUGGCGGAGUCUGCAGAAUGCUAUGGGCACCAGACUAGACUUCAGCACUGCUUUCCACCCUCAAACUGAUGGACAGUCAGAGAGGACCAUCCAGACUAUAGAAGAUAUGCUCAGAAUGUGUGUGCUAGAUUUUGGCGGUUCUUGGAGGCAGCAUCUACCAUUGGUGGAGUUUGCCUACAAUAACAGCUAUCAUGCUAGCAUUGGGAUGGCUCCUUAUGAAGCUCUUUAUGGGAGGAAGUGCAGGUCACCUGUUUGUUGGGAAGAAGUUGGAGAGAGGUCCUUAGCAGGGCCUGAGUUAGUAGAGAUUACAAGCAGGGUAGUGCCCAUUAUCAGAGAAAGAAUUAAGACUGCUGUGAGUCGGCAAAAGAGUUAUGCAAAUGUCCGCAGGAAGCAUGUAGAGUUUCAGGAGGGAGAUUUGGUGUUGCUCAAGGUGUCUCCUAUGAAAGGGGUGAUUCGGUUUGAGAAGAAAGGUAAGCUAACUACACGGUACAUCGGACCCUUUGAGAUCUUGCAAAAGAUUGGGAAUGUAUCGUACAAGUUGGACUUACCUGCUUCUAUGGAGAGAAUCCAUCCGGUUUUUCAUGUUUCCAUGUUACGAAAAUUCGUGUCAAAUCCAGACAAGGUUCUUAGUGAGCCUGAUGUAGAGAUCCUAGAAGAUCUCACCUAUAUUGAGCAGCCAGUAUGGAUUCUAGACACACAGAUCAGAAAGUUGAGGAACAAGGAAAUCCCGAUGGUGAAAGUCCUUUGGAAUCACCACAACAUCGAGGAAUGUACCUGGGAGACAAGGGAGUCUAUGCUCCAGCAGUACUCUUAUCUCUUCUAAGAUGAGUGUUAUGUGUUUUCGUAUGUAUGUUUAUGUUUUAUGCUAUGUUAUGCAUGUGCUAGUUUGAGGAACUCGGGGACGAAUGUUCUUAAGGGGGGAGAAUGUAAUACUCGGCUAGACUCCAGUAUCGAAAUUCCUACUGUCCGGUGGAAUCUCGGAUGUCGGAAACCUCUAGAAGGGUAAAAUAAUGUUUUUAUAAAAUGUUUUCAUGUAUUUUGUGGUUUUUAUGAAGAAAGGAAUUGAGUUAAAGUUUUAAAGAAAAGAAAGAAAGAGAAUGAAGGAAGGGCCCAGGUUUGGCCGCCGAACCUCAAGUUCGGCCGCCGAACAUGGGAUGCAUGUGGAGGCACGUUAGGCCCCCGAAAGUGGCCUGGCCAACCACCUAUAAAGGGGUCCCCUGUCCGAAAUGGGCGAGUUUUCUCUCCCCAUUUCCGGCCAAGGUGAGUCUCCGUCCUCCCUUAUCGAUCUUGUGUUCUUCCUUCAAGUCUCUCAUGUUUUUACGAGUUACUUAACUUGGUUUUGAAGAUUUUUAGAGCUAAGAUCAAGAUUUGAAGCUUGGAGACCCCGGAGCUUUCUUCCUCCAUUUCUCCAAGUUUAGGUCGCCUCCCCUCUCGAUCUUCAAGAGGUAAGGGUAGAUCUUUAGCUUAUUCCAUGUUUUAAACAAGUUUUAUGAGGGGUUAUGGGGUAGAAAUGCAUGUUUAGGUUAGUUGAUUGUUGUUAGGGUUAAUGUUGAGUUUAUGGUCAAUGUAUGUCGUAUGUGUAUAUACUUUGUGUUGUUGUUGGGGUUUAGGAUAGUUUGAGACCCCUAUAUGCUUAUGAAUGUGUUUAUGCAUGUUUAGGAGUGUUGUGUUUGAGUUUGGAAGGUUUGGGAGGCAAAAUGUACAUGAGGAGGCUGAGUUCUGCCACUUUGGAAGAACUCAGGUUCGGCAGUCGAAGGCACUUUCGGCCGCCGAACCUGCCUGUGGAGGCAAGCUUUUGGCUGCCGAACUCUGCCCCCGAAAGUUGGACUUUCGGCUCUGGAGGGGAGUUUCGGCCGUCGAAAGUGCCGCUGAAGGUGCAUGAGUUUCGUCUCUAGAAGGGACUUUCAGCCGCCGAAGGUGCCACCGAAAGUGGCUGAGUUUCGGCUCUUGAGGGACUUUCGGCCGCCGAACCUACCGCCGAAAGUGCCCUGUUCAGCCUUCCUUUGCAUGAUUUCUAUGAUUGUUUUAUGAUAUUUUAGGGGGUUUUGGAGAGUAAUUGAGAGUUAUGUUCGUGUAUGUUUGGUCCCUCAUUUGAGUCCACCUAUGUAGGUUCGGACCCGAGGAACCGAGGACCCCAGCAGUGAGAUAGCUGCUUUUGAGUCAGCCUGAGGUGAGUAGAAUGGAUCUUUAUGUUUCAAAGUAAAUAAAUAAAUUUUGAGCAUGUUCAUGCAUCACGAAUGCCAUGAUAUAUACUAGGUUGUUUGCAUUAGAAUUCACGAAUAUGUUGCAUUGCAUAAUAUGAUGUUGAUGUGGAUGGACAUUGAAUGAUCCAUUAUCUCUCGUAUGAAAUGAUAUGAUAUGAUGAUGAUACGGUAUGGAAGUCCAAGAAGACCCAUUCUAUGUCCCUGGCACUAUGUAAGAGAAAGUCUAGGAAGACUCAUUCUACGUCUCUGGCACAUUGGAAUGUUAUGAUUUGUUAUGUAAGGGAAAGACCAGAGACCCAUUCUACAUCCUGGCACUAUUGGAUAUGUAGAGGGCUAUUGGUGACAAGUUCAUCCUUAAUGUGAUUUGUUUGUGAUGUGAUGCAUUUCAUGAAAAACAUGAAUCUUUAAUAUAAUGUUUUACUUUUCUGCUCAUUGGGCUCUAGUAGCUCACCCCAUUCCCUUAACCCCCAGGUUUGCAGGUACAGGAUAGACCAGGAAGUCAUGUUUUAUGUAAUAGUUAGAAGUGAACAUAAAAGAUAAUGUAUUGUAAGAUAUUGUUCAGUUAUAUUUAUGAGGAUUAGAAUUGUGUUUGACCCUAGAGUUAUAGUUAAUCCCUUUUGUACAUUAUCUAUGUAAUGUUGUAUUGAUGUUAUAUGAACCAAGCUAAUGUAUGAUAUGUUACCCCAUUGGAGUAUUUGAUGAGGGCUCCAGUGUGGGGUUUUUUUUAUUAUGAGUUUGUGCAUGCACAGAUUAAGUUUGGUAAUGGAAAGAAAAAGUCUAGAAUACCGUAUUGUUUGGUUUUAAUUAUAAGUCAUGAAUUAAUUUNNNNNNNNNNNNNNNNNNNNNNNNNNNNNNNNNNNNNNNNNNNNNNNNNNNNNNNNNNNNNNNNNNNNNNNNNNNNNNNNNNNNNNNNNNNNNNNNNNNNNNNNNNNNNNNNNNNNNNNNNNNNNNNNNNNNNNNNNNNNNNNNNNNNNNNNNNNNNNNNNNNNNNNNNNNNNNNNNNNNNNNNNNNNNNNNNNNNNNNNNNNNNNNNNNNNNNNNNNNNNNNNNNNNNNNNNNNNNNNNNNNNNNNNNNNNNNNNNNNNNNNNNNNNNNNNNNNNNNNNNNNNNNNNNNNNNNNNNNNNNNNNNNNNNNNNNNNNNNNNNNNNNNNNNNNNNNNNNNNNNNNNNNNNNNNNNNNNNNNNNNNNNNNNNNNNNNNNNNNNNNNNNNNNNNNNNNNNNNNNNNNNNNNNNNNNNNNNNNNNNNNNNNNNNNNNNNNNNNNNNNNNNNNNNNNNNNNNNNNNNNNNNNNNNNNNNNNNNNNNNNNNNNNNNNNNNNNNNNNNNNNNNNNNNNNNNNNNNNNNNNNNNNNNNNNNNNNNNNNNNNNNNNNNNNNNNNNNNNNNNNNNNNNNNNNNNNNNNNNNNNNNNNNNNNNNNNNNNNNNNNNNNNNNNNNNNNNNNNNNNNNNNNNNNNNNNNNNNNNNNNNNNNNNNNNNNNNNNNNNNNNNNNNNNNNNNNNNNNNNNNNNNNNNNNNNNNNNNNNNNNNNNNNNNNNNNNNNNNNNNNNNNNNNNNNNNNNNNNNNNNNNNNNNNNNNNNNNNNNNNNNNNNNNNNNNNNNNNNNNNNNNNNNNNNNNNNNNNNNNNNNNNNNNNNNNNNNNNNNNNNNNNNNNNNNNNNNNNNNNNNUCCAUCAGAGCACCAACUCUCUUUUAAUAAUAAAAUCAUCAUCACCAUUAUCCAACACUCCUUCAUUAUGAUCUCUUGCAUCCCAAUACAUAAAUGCUUUCACCUUUUAUAGGCAGAUCCCACCCCAAUGAGAACUACAUCCUACUAAUGCCGUAUUGUUUGGUUUUAAUUACAAGUCAUGAAUUAAUUUUGAAUCAAUUAGUACUAUCAUUUUCUUUGAAUAAAUUAUGCAAGUUGUAAGACUUCUCUAUGCGACGAGAUUCCAUCCUACUAAAAGGGACUGUUAAUUAUUUUAUUUUAUAUAAAAUUUUAAAAAUAACCAAAUUUGAAUAAAAUUGAGAAUUCAAUUAGGAGUUAAUUCAAUAAUUUUCUAAAUAUAAGUUAUUUUCCGUAAAUAAAUAAAAUUUUAAUUUAUUUUUUUUUUUAAAUCAAAACUCUUUAAAUAACUUACUCACCUAACCCUAUUUCAUAAAAGAGCUGUUUAAAUCAUAUUUCAUAUAAAAGCUGUUUAAACUAAGUUUUAAUACAUUUUACAAAUUCUGAACUGUGAAAUAUAAAAAAGAAUUAAGAUAUUUUUUUUAAUAUUACAUGUUACUGAAGAAAUAUGCAGGGAUUUUAUUAAGAAAGUUUUCGCAAGCUCAAUUUGGAGGCAAAUAUAGUAAAGGAAAUGCACAUUUUACAUUAUUUAUUGAUGUUGAAAGUAAAAGUAUGUAAAUACAUAAUUCUUGAUAUUGAUUUCACCAUCAAAAUAAUUUAAACUUGGACAAACAACUAAGAUUGUCUAUUAGAAAAUAGUAGCACUUGUCUAUACUAACCUCAACGAAGUAAAACCAAACUUGCCUCCAAUAUGGAUUUAUGAAUAAAACUCCAGCAAUUGUCAACAACACCAUAAUGUAAGCCACCCCAAAACUCGCAUAAAAAUCUUCCAUGUCAAUGAAGCAAUUACUUUCUUCAGUAUCAUUUGAACUUCUUGGGAUUGAUGGAGAAGAUUCCAUGGUAGCACAAUAUUUUUGCAAUGGCCAUCCACAAAGAAGAGGGUUAUCUCGAUAGCUGCUUUCAUCAAAUGUUGCAAACUGUUUAACCUUUUCCGGUGUUCUACCAGAUAAAUCAUUGCAUGAUACAUUGAAGACUUCCAAAAAAUCCAACUCAGUGAGUUGAGAAGGAAUGUUCCCUUGCAAGUUGUUGUGUGAAAGAUCCAAGCUUUCAAUUUGACUCAAGUUAGAAAAUGAUGCUGGGAUUUUUCCAUUCAAAUUGUUGUGGGAUAAAUUUAGUACACGGAUCUCAUUGAGGUAACCAAUUUGGAUAGGAAUUUGGCCUAUCAGCUUGUUGCAUGAGAGAUCAAUUCCUGAGAAGUAAUACAGCAUGCUUCUUUGGUAAGAAUAGAUAUUCCUCUUCGUUGUGAAUUCUAUCUCUUCACCAUUAGACAAGGAAGCAAAAUUGCUUGUAGAUCUUAGACAAGGGGGAAUAUGACCAGACAGAUUAUUAUGUGAGAGGUCAAUCAAGCUUAAUUGGGUCAAAUUGCACAACUGAAUUGGGAUUUCCCCUUCAAUAUUAUUAUAACCCAAAAUCAUAUAGGCCAAUUGGUAAAAUCUUUCAAACCAUGAUGGAAUGCUUCCAGUCAUAUUAUUGUGGCUAAGAUCUAACACAACCAAUUGAAGGCAAUCGAAAAAUGCAUCUUCUAAUGAUCCUUGAAGCUGAUUUCUGGACAAAUGAACUUCUAACAUAUGUGAACAGCAAAAAUCAGAGGGUAGGCUUCCAGAAAUAUCAUUAUUGGAUAAGUCUAAAAUUUGCAAUGAGCUCAUAUUUCCAAAUGAAGAAGGAAUGCUACCAUUGAAAUCAUUUUUAGACAAGUACACAAGUUCCAAUCUCGGCAAAUGUGUUCCUAUAUCUGGUGGAAUAAUUCCGUGGAAGAGAUUAUCUGAGAUAUCUAAGAGUGACAAAUUCAAAUGGGAAUGAAGUGGUAAUUGAAGAGGCCCUGAGAGGGAAUUGUUUUUUAAGUAAAGCUCUUCUAGUUUUGUGUUGUUUUGUAACAACCAAUAUGGAAAUCUUCCUCUCAAUUUCAAGCUCUGCAGACUGGCUUCUCGUAAGUUAUGCUGAUAAUAAAGGAAUUUGGGAAAUGCUUUAAUGCAUGCAUAACCAUCGAUAUAAAGAGUCUCUAGUUGAAACAUUGGGGUCAAAUUUUGUUCAGUUUUUUCUCCAUAUAUUUCAUUGUUACCCUGACUUUUAAAGUGUUUGAGCUUUGAAUGGUUGAAAAAUAGAUCCAACGAGACUGGAAUUUGGAAAAGAUUGUGUGAAAGAUCCAAAUAUUCGAGAUUUGUUAAUCUAUUAAAUGGAUAUAGAGAGAUGUUUCCAACAAAAUUAUUGGAAGAGAGAUGUAACGAUUGAAGAGAUGUCAUGUUAGCCAGACAUGAAGGCAAGCUACCACUUAUGUCAUUAUAGGAAAUAUCUAACUCUUGAAGUUGUUUUAAUUUGCACACACCUGUAAAUUCAUUUGCAAAAGGUUUAGCCAAAAUCUUUAAGAUGAAACAAAUCUCAAAUAAAGAGGGAUUAAUAUUAAUUUUACCUUGGUUUAGAAACUCUGUGUCAUUAAGUCCACAACUACGCAAUGAUAAUUUCUUAAGAGAAGACAUUGCUCCAAUUAUUUGCAGAUGAGGCAAGCCUAUCAUAUAUAUAUAACAAAUGGGAAAAAAAAUAUAUGAUAAUAUCAAACAAUUCAAUUGGCUAAAAAAAUGAAAUAUAAUAUUAAUUUUGCUAUUCUCCUGAAGGUUAAAUAAAAAGUGCAAAACCAAUUAUUUGUUUAAUUUAACACAAAUAAUUGGUUAAAUUAAACAAUUAUAAUAAUAAAGUAAUUAGCUUACCUUGAUGGAGAAUUGCUCCUUCGAAUUUACAUGACACCAGAGAUAGAUUUUUAAGGUGGCUAAAUGCUCCCAAUGAUUCCAAUAACUUGCUUCCUUUUGUUAUGGUGAUAUCAUCUAAAUACAGCUCACUUAUAUUGUUUGAAGCCCUUAUUUCUGCAAGUAAUUACAAAAAAAAAAUCAUCCAUUUCAUCGAUAGCCAACAAUAAAAGCAAAAUCCAAAAAUUAAGAAUUUAAAACUUGUGAAUGAAAAUUAAAAAAUAAAAUAAAAGUUGGUGUUGAA
rnacentral:lncRNA from 1 species